rnacentral:rRNA from 1 species
AGCGAACGCUGGCGGCAGGCCUAACACAUGCAAGUCGAACGAACCUUUCGGGGUUAGUGGCGGACGGGUGAGUAACACGUGGGAACGUGCCUUUAGGUUCGGAGUAACUCAGGGAAACUUGUGCUAAUACCGAAUGUGCCCUUCGGGGGAAAGAUUAAUCGCCUUUAGAGCGGCCCGCGUCUGAUUAGCUAGUUGGUUGAGGUAAUGGCUCACCAAGGCGACGAUCAGUAGCUGGUCUGAGAGGAUGAUCAGCCACAUUGGGACUGAGACACGGCCCAAACUCCUACGGGAGGCAGCAGUGGGGAAUCUUGCGCAAUGGGCGAAAGCCUGACGCAGCCAUGCCGCGUGAAUGAUGAAGGUCUUAGGAUUGUAAAAUUCUUUCACCGGGGACGAUAAUGACGGUACCCGGAGAAGAAGCCCCGGCUAACUUCGUG